rnacentral:other from 1 species
ACAUGCCCGGGUUGCAUGACUUCCUGUGUGUUUGAACCUACAAUUGCUUUGAAAAGGGAUUCCAAUAUUUAUGUGCCGAUGUCAGGCCUCCUUUGCAGAGGAAGGCAGAAGUACAUGUGCGGUCGCCCACCUAGAUUCGUCUAGGAGUCAAAGAGCAGGAUCGGCAACUCCGGGUUUGAU